AGAGUUUGAUCCUGGCUCAGGAUGAACGCUAGCGACAGGCUUAACACAUGCAAGUCGAGGGGCAGCGGGGGCGGUAGCAAUACUGCCUGCCGGCGACCGGCGCACGGGUGAGUAACACGUAUGCAACCUACCCUUGUCAGGGGGAUAAGCCGGAGAAAUCCGGUCUAAUACCGCGUGACAUCGGGAUUCCGCAUGGGAUUCCGAUCAAAGGAUUUAUCCGGACAAGGAUGGGCAUGCGGCGCAUUAGCUAGUUGGCGGGGUAACGGCCCACCAAGGCGACGAUGCGUAGGGGUUCUGAGAGGAAGGUCCCCCACACUGGUACUGAGACACGGACCAGACUCCUACGGGAGGCAGCAGUGAGGAAUAUUGGUCAAUGGGCGAGAGCCUGAACCAGCCAAGUCGCGUGAGGGAAUAAGGUCCUAUGGAUUGUAAACCUCUUUUGUCGGGGAGCAAUGAGCGUCACGUGUGAUGCGUUGAGAGUACCCGAAGAAAAAGCAUCGGCUAACUCCGUGCCAGCAGCCGCGGUAAUACGGAGGAUGCGAGCGUUAUCCGGAUUUAUUGGGUUUAAAGGGUGCGUAGGCGGGGAGCCAAGUCAGCGGUAAAAUCGUGGGGCUCAACCCCAUCCCGCCGUUGAAACUGGUUUUCUUGAGUGGAUGAGAAGUAUGCGGAAUGCGUGGUGUAGCGGUGAAAUGCAUAGAUAUCACGCAGAACUCCGAUUGCGAAGGCAGCAUACCGGCAUCCAACUGACGCUGAAGCACGAAGGCGUGGGUAUCAAACAGGAUUAGAUACCCUGGUAGUCCACGCAGUAAACGAUGAAUGCCAAUUGUCCGGGGCGA
rnacentral:rRNA from 1 species